GAUGAAGAACGCAGCGAAACGCGAUAUGUAAUGUGAAUUGCAGAAUUCAGUGAAUCAUCGAAUCUUUGAACGCACAUGGCGCCUUCCAGUAUCCUGGGAGGCAUGCCUGUCCGAGCGUCGUUUCAACCCUCGAGCCCUCGUGGCCCGGCGUUGGGGAUCUGCCACGGCAGGCCCCGAAAUACAGUGGCGGACCCGUUAGGCCCUUCCUUUGCGUAGUAGCAUCAGCCUCGCAUCGGGAGCCGGCGGGCUCUCCUGCCUCUAAACCCCCCAACAAGCCCGCUCCGGCGGCACCAAGGUUGACCUCGGAUCAGGUAGGAAUACCCGCUGAACUUAAGCAUACAAUAAGCGGAGGA
rnacentral:misc_RNA from 1 species